AUCUCGCCAGAAUAAUGUAAAACUGAUACGUUUAGGUUGCUAUGGUCGCUGCCAGGGCUCGUCACAUGACGUCUUCUACAGACUAUAAUAAAUAAGAAUAAAUAGGAAGAGGCAACAAUAAAUGAUCUAUGCCAGCGCAAGUCAAUAUUUAUCUGGCCAGUCAACUGGUUUUUAAUUUAAAAAAUCCCUCGCAGUCUGAACUGCAACAGCACGGUCUGCGGUGAGUUAAACAACGUUCAACUGCAGGAUCAAUAGCAUUCAGCGGUGAGUUUAACAACCCUCAAAUGCGGUUAAAACAACAUUCAGAGGGAAGCUUUAUUUAAACCGCGUUCAACUGCAGAUAAAACAACAUUCAGAGGUGACUUUAACAACGCUCCACGGCGCGUGGGAGUAGCAUUUUAAGCGUUUUCUGAUCAUGUAGGUAAGUGCUUUGAUUAACUUUAGACGUGAUGCAUGCUGGGUGGCAAAUAUUUUUUAUCAAAGGCUCGUUGAUGGUAAUAAAUAUACAUAUAAAUAUACAUUUUACUAUAAUACGAUUGUUUUCGAUUAAUUAAUGGGUUGUUUAAUUAUUAAUUUGUUUAUUUUAAAUCCUGUAAUUUAACAACUCUGACGUCAUCGAAUGCGACGAUGCCAAGGUCCAUUGCGAUUUCCACUCGGUCCUUCAACUCUUUAUACCCCCAUCACAAACACACACACACACACACACACACACACACACACACACACACACACACACACACACACACACACACACACACUCACACACACACACACACACACACACACACACACACACACACACACACACACACACACACACACACACACACACACACACACACACACACACACACACACACACACACACACACACACACACACACACACACACACACACACACACACACACUUUCUUGGUAAUCUGUAAGAAGAGGAGGCAGCAGCACCAGAGAAGACACCUGAGCCGAGGGUGCAUUGGAGACAAAGAGACACUGAUGUAAAUAUUGUCUAUGCAAGGCCAAGGUCAUGCAGGAAUCAACCAAAGAAAGCUGAUCACAUUCAGAACACUGAUCCUCCCAAUGCUCCUGACACUCAUUGUGAGGUGGCCUUUGCUCCAGAGACUGUUGAGUGCAUUCACUGAACGAUUUCUCAGGUGACGAGGCAUCACCUCCUGGAACCCCAAGAGAUCUUCUUCUGGCUUCCUCAAACUGGAGAACACGUCAAAGUCUCUUCAGAGAGGUGGAGGGCAUGUGGUAGCACACAUCUGCCUAAGGAAUGUGCAGUGGGAGACUUAAACAGAAGUGGGUACUGGCCUGCAACCCUUCAAUUCACCACAAUUUAUGCCAUAGAUAUCUUGUUUUCAUUUCAAGAAAUGAAGAUGGCGGCACCAGGACUGUCCUGUCAAGCAUUUUUUAAGAAUGCUGGAUCAGCGAACUGUCUGCUUUGGUCGUACUGGCAAGAUCUCAGCAGACAGUUUUCAGAAAAGUUUUUUGAGUGGGAGGCUGUGCGAUUCAAGGUGGACAAUAUAUGCAAGGAAGAGCCUUUCACCUGCCCUGCAUGCACCCCAGAGAUUAUCAUUUCAAGAAUACUGCUAGAUCUGAGGAACCGGCCAUCUUUGAAGGUGUCUUUAUAGCCAAGGAUAAAGAUGUUACCAGAUUUCUGGACUACAUUCACAACACAACCACAACGAAAAGCUUGCCAGAAAACAGGAUGUAACCUGUGAAAUGGAGUGAGGCAAAUGCAGGAUGUUGCUGUAUUAACACUAGGAGAGGAGGUGGGACAGUGCAGUACCUUCCUCUCUAGGAUUGCAGUGACUACAAAACAAUUGUGAAAAGCAGGACGCGCAGACAAUCUGCCUCUCAUGGCCAUGCGCUGGAAUCAGCAAAAGUUUAACAAUUUAGCCAUCUUAAUUACUCGUCGAUAUCAGAAGACCAAAAAGCUCUGGAAAGCCAGUUAGAAAACCUAGAGUCCAUGAAAGCCCAAUUGGCAGUGACAGAAAGCUAAUUUGAAGGCUAGACUCUGUACAUCUAAGUCAGUUUGGAGACUUCAGGAGGAGCAGAAGAUGCUUGUUGCAGAGAUGGACCAUCAUUGGAAAUCUCUAAGCUUGUGCUGAUGCCAUCAGAGAGCUGUCCUGCUUGUUUUCUAAUGAGACAAUGAAAAAUUCACCAUGUGGCCUAAGUGAAGAGGGUCUAAAAUGUCUGCUGAGCACCAUUCUCAGAGAGCAACAUAAAAUCAGAAAAAUUUGCAAGCAAGAGACUGUUACCUACAAGUUUUGUCUGGAGCAGAGAACAUCAACUUCUUGUACAGUGCUUCACCUGAUGAGUACGACAGUGACUUUGACAUUUCUGAUGAUGGUCUGUAAUCCACAAGACUGUCACCUUCCAUCAUUCUGGACAAAGACUUCUAACUGUCAAUAUAAAGCAUUUAAUAAAAUCUACUUUUCAUAAA